AUUGAACGCUGGCGGCAUGCUUUACACAUGCAAGUCGGACGGCAGCACAGAGAAGCUUGCUUCUUGGGUGGCGAGUGGCGAACGGGUGAGUAAUAUAUCGGAACGUACCGAGUAAUGGAGGAUAACUAAUCGAAAGAUUAGCUAAUACCGCAUAUUCUCUGAGGAGGAAAGCAGGGGACCUUCGGGCCUUGCGUUAUUCGAGCGGCCGAUAUCUGAUUAGCUAGUUGGUGGGGUAAAGGCCUACCAAGGCGACGAUCAGUAGCGGGUCUGAGAGGAUGAUCCGCCACACUAGGACUGAGACACGGCCCAGACUCCUACGGGAGGCAGCAGUGGGGAAUUUUGGACAAUGGGCGCAAGCCUGAUCCAGCCAUGCCGCGUGUCUGAAGAAGGCCUUCGGGUUGUAAAGGACUUUUGUCAGGGAAGAAAAGGCUGUUGCUAAUAUCGACAGCUGAUGACGGUACCUGAAGAAUAAGCACCGGCUAACUACGUGCCAGCAGCCGCGGUAAUACGUAGGGUGCGAGCGUUAAUCGGAAUUACUGGGCGUAAAGCGAGCGCAGACGGUUACUUAAGCAGGAUGUGAAAUCCCCGGGCUUAACCUGGGAACUGCGUUCUGAACUGGGUGACUAGAGUGUGUCAGAGGGAGGUAGAAUUCCACGUGUAGCAGUGAAAUGCGUAGAGAUGUGGAGGAAUACCGAUGGCGAAGGCAGCCUCCUGGGAUAACACUGACGUUCAUGCUCGAAAGCGUGGGUAGCAAACAGG
rnacentral:rRNA from 1 species